rnacentral:rRNA from 1 species
UACGUAGGUGACAAGCGUUGUCCGGAUUUACUGGGCGUAAAGAGCGCGCAGGCGGUCGAUCAAGUCGAGUGUGAAAGCCCCCGGCUCAACUGGGGAGGGUCAUUCGAUACUGAUCGACUCGAAGGCAGGAGAGGGUAGUGGAAUUCCCGGUGUAGUGGUGAAAUGCGUAGAGAUCCGGAAGAACCCCAGAGGCGAAGGCGGCGCCCUGGCUCGCAACUGACGCUCAGACACGACAGCAUGGGGAGCGAACGGG